UACGGGGGGGAGCAAGCGUUGUUCGGAUUUACUGGGCGUAAAGGGCGCGUAGGCGGUCGUGACAAGUCACUUGUGAAAUCUCCGGGCUUAACUCGGAACGGUCAAGUGAUACUGUCGGACUAGAGUACAGAAGGGGCAACUGGAAUUCUCGGUGUAGCGGUGAAAUGCGUAGAUAUCGAGAGGAACACCUGCGGCGAAGGCGGCGAGCUGGUCCAUUACUGACGCUGAGGCGCGACAGCGUGGGGAGCAAACAGG
rnacentral:rRNA from 1 species